rnacentral:misc_RNA from 1 species
AAAGUCGUAACAAGGUAACCGUAGGUGAACCUGCGGUUGGAUCAUUACUGAUUUUGCCUAGGUUGGUCGAGUCUCUAGGGACUCCCAACCGAAGCGAUAUACCACUUGUGCACUGUAUUGUCUUUUGGGUCUGGAAGUUGUCUGCUUGCGGAUAGCGACCUGGCCCAGUCGUAUAAACCAUUUAAUCUUUUGUCUGAAAUAUCUAGUAAUAGAAACAACUUUUGACAACGGAUCUCUUGGCUCUC